rnacentral:rRNA from 1 species
CGCCUGGGGAGUACGGCCGCAAGGUUAAAACUCAAAUGAAUUGACGGGGGCCCGCACAAGCGGUGGAGCAUGUGGUUUAAUUCGACGCAACGCGAAGAACCUUACCUGGCCUUGAUAUCCAGAGAGCUUUCCAGAGAUGGAUUGGUGCCUUCGGGAACUCUGGGACAGGUGCUGCAUGGCCGUCGUCAGCUCGUGUCGUGAGAUGUUGGGUUAAGUCCCGUAACGAGCGCAACCCCUAUCCCUGGUUGCUAGCAGGUAAUGCUGAGAACUCCAGGGAGACUGCCGGUGACAAACCGGAGGAAGGUGGGGAUAACGUCAGGUCAUCAUGGCCCUUACGGCCAGGGCUACACACGUGCUACAAUGGCGCGUACAGAGGGCUGCCAACUCGCGAGAGUGAGCCAAUCCCUUAAAACGCGUCGUAGUCCGGAUCGGAGUCUGCAACUCGACUCCGUGAAGUCGGAAUCGCUAGUAAUCGCGAAUCAGAAUGUCGCGGUGAAUACGUUCCCGGGCCUUGUACACACCGCCCGUCACACCAUGGGAGUGGAUUGCACCAGAAGUAGUUAGUCUAACCUUCGGGAGGACGAUUACCACGGUGUGGUUCGUGACUGGGGUGAAGUCGUAACAAGGUAACCGUA